rnacentral:lncRNA from 13 species
AUGGGGAGCUUCUUUAAGAAACACCUGACAGAAGACCCAGGUGGCCAGUGUGUUCCCAUUGGACUAGGAAGUGUACUUCCAGGAAGUGUUCCUAUUUCACCAGGAACUGUAGUAGGGCGUGGAGCAGGAUAUGUACUAUUAGGAAGGACACUUUCAAAAUGGCGUAUGGUAAAACCAGGAAGUGGAUCAACAGUUGGGACAGGGAGGGGACGUGGUCGGCCCCCUAAACACUUCACCAAACGGAGGAGACGAGUAUGGAGCCAGGUCUCCUCGAGUGAUACGACAGAGACGGACGAGACUGAGGAGGAAGAGGAACCAGUCUACACCGUUACCACCCAGUCGUUGGAGCACAGCCCUGGGGGAGGGGGAGAAGAUGGAGAAGGAUGGGCGGAACUACAGGAGUACGACGACGACGUGCCUGAACAAAUACCUCAGAUGUCUCCAUCCUAUAUGCCUGUAAACCCCAGUAGUGGUGUAUCUGGGUCAGAGGAACCCUACCCCAGCAGCUGUGUUCAGCCCUACCCGCAGAGCUGUUACCAGGGCGACCAUGGCAACCUCCAGUUCAUCAGGAUGAACGGCAACCAAAUUACCAUCACCCCUGGCCCCAGCCUCGCUUCUCAGGCCUCCGCAGUCCUGGAGCCUGCAGUUGAACCCCCGUCAGUUAACUA